UACAGAGGUCCCCAAGCGUUGUUCGGAUUCACUGGGCGUAAAGGGUGCGUAGGUGGUGAGGUAAGUCGGAUGUGAAAUCUCCGAGCUCAACUCGGAAACUGCAUUGGAAACUACCUUGCUCGAGGGUUGGAGGGGGGACUGGAAUUUACGGUGUAGCAGUGAAAUGCGUAGAGAUCGUAAGGAAGACCGGUGGCGAAGGCGAGUCUCUGGACAGUUACUGACGCUGAGGCACGAAGGCCAGGGGGAGCAAACGGG
rnacentral:rRNA from 1 species